rnacentral:lncRNA from 1 species
ACAUAGUCCCAGCAUUCUGACCAUCCAUACCUCUAAAAAAUCUAUGGAUGCAGUAAGUAGCACUUGCCAUUAAAACUAACACUAUGGCUGUAAUAACUAAAUAUGCCCAAAAUGUAAGUGCAAGUUCGAUCUCUACACCAACCCAAUGCUAUCCACAAGAAAUGAAGAAAUCACAGGUCUCGAUAGAAAAUAUAAGAUGGC